rnacentral:misc_RNA from 1 species
AACUUUUAGCAACGGAUCUCUUGGUUCUCGCAUCGAUGUAGAACGCAGCGAAACGCGAUAGGUAAUGUGAAUUGCAGAAUUUAGUGAAUCAUCGAAUCUUUGAACGCACAUUGCGCUCCUUGGUAUUCCGAGGAGCAUAUCUGUUCGAGCGUCAUAUCUCUCUCAAGUCCACUGCUUCGCCGUGGGAGACUUGGUGCUGAGCUCGGAGAGCUGAGAAGCCUCUGGCUCCAAUUUCGCACGCUUGCGGUCCCCGUUGAACCUCAGACAUGAUAAACUUGACUGUUUGGUGCGUUCACGACGGCGGAUUCGCCACCGAAACCCCUCAAAAGUUUGACCUCGGAUCAGAUAAGGAUACCCGCUGAACUUAAGCAUAUCAAUAAGCGGAGGCU